rnacentral:rRNA from 1 species
AUGACGACAUGGCGAUUUACCAAUCACCAGAAGAUGUUGAAGACAAAGAUUUCUGUGGUGGUGUCGGUAAUGGUGGUGGUGGUGGUGGGGAGUUGGAGGUGGUUUUGCUUUCGGCAAUGGUGGUGGUGGUGGGUUUGGAGGUGGUGUUGGCUUCAAAAAUGGUGGUGGUGGGUUUGGAUGUGGUGUUGGCUUCUGCAUUGGUGGUGGUGGUGGGUUUGGUGGUGGAGGAUGUGGUGGUGGUGGUGGUGGUGGGGUUUUUGGAGGUGGCGAAGCUUUCGGUAA